AUUGAACGCUGGCGGCAUGCCUUACACAUGCAAGUCGAACGGCAGCACGGGUGCUUGCACCUGGUGGCGAGUGGCGAACGGGUGAGUAAUACAUCGGAACAUGUCCUGUAGUGGGGGAUAGCCCGGCGAAAGCCGGAUUAAUACCGCAUACGAUCUACGGAUGAAAGCGGGGGACCUUCGGGCCUCGCCCUAUAGGGUUGGCCGAUGGCUGAUUAGCUAGUUGGUGGGGUAAAGGCCUACCAAGGCGACGAUCAGUAGCUGGUCUGAGAGGACGACCAGCCACACUGGGACUGAGACACGGCCCAGACUCCUACGGGAGGCAGCAGUGGGGAAUUUUGGACAAUGGGCGAAAGCCUGAUCCAGCAAUGCCGCGUGUGUGAAGAAGGCCUUCGGGUUGUAAAGCACUUUUGUCCGGAAAGAAAUCCUUGGCCCUAAUACGGUCGGGGGAUGACGGUACCGGAAGAAUAAGCACCGGCUAACUACGUG
rnacentral:rRNA from 1 species